rnacentral:rRNA from 2 species
CGUAAGGGGACCUGCGGAAGGAUCAUUACAAGUUGAAACGGUUGCCCUCGCGGUGACCGGUUCUUCAAACCUCUGCGUACCGAACCUUUCAGUUGCCUCCGGCGGCCCUGGGCCGACGCGGCGCGCGACCUCACGCACUAUACGCGGGGGGGCCGCUCCUCGCGGCGGACCACCCGCCGGGCGGUCAUAAACAAAACCUUUUUGUCGAGAUGGCAUCGUCUAAUUUCUUCAUAACAAAAUAUGAAAUACAACUUUUAACAAUGGAUCUCUUGGCUCCGGCAUCGAUGAAGAACGCAGCGAAAUGCGAUAACUAGUGUGAAUUGCAGAUUUCAGUGAAUCAUCGAGUCUUUGAACGCACAUUGCGCCUCUUGGUAUUCCUCGAGGCAUGCCUGUUCGAGCGUCGUUACGCCCCUCAAGCGCAAGCUUGGUGUUGGGGAUCGCCCCUGAGAUACGGCGGCGGCCCUUAAAUGCUAUCGGCGGAUGCUGUGUGACUCAGCCCGGAGCGCAGCAGACAUGCGGCUUCCAGGCGACCACGCGCCCGCCGGACAACGACCCGACUUUCAAACGUCGACCUCGGAUCAGGUAGGGAUACCCGCUGAACUUAAGCAUAUCAUAAG